UCCUCGUGUUGCAUCCCU
rnacentral:ncRNA from 2 species